UAAAGGAGGCGCUGACAGGAGAGUUGUGGUUCCAACCUUAUUACUUCGCUAUUACUAUUCAUUAAGAAGGGGCACUGAGAGCAUGAAACGCAGUCAGCUUGCCCUGUACAAUGUAUAACUUAAUAGGAGAGCAGACUUCGGGAGCUAUCCGCUAACGAGAGAGUUUGCAGAAUCGUUCGUUAAAGCUGAUAUCAGGAAAGGACAGUUCAGAUGAGGGAUCCCAACGCCUGGAGGGGGGACAGAAAAGCUCGGAAGUAAUCGCCGAUGCCUUAUCUGCAUUGACAAGGCCUGUGGUGAUAGAAAAGAGAAGAAAAAAAGGUAAG